AUUGAACGCUGGCGGCAUGCCUUACACAUGCAAGUCGAACGGUAACAGGUCUUCGGAUGCUGACGAGUGGCGAACGGGUGAGUAAUACAUCGGAUCGUGCCUAGUCGUGGGGGAUAACUACUCGAAAGAGUGGCUAAUACCGCAUGAGAUCUACGUAUGAAAGCAGGGGAUCGCAAGGCUUUGUGCUACCAGAGCGGCCGAUGGCAGAUUAGGUAGUUGGUGGGAUAAAAGCUUACCAAGCCGACGAUCUGUGGCUGGUCUGAGAGGACGAUCAGCCACACUGGGACUGAGACACGGCCCAGACUCCUACGGGAGGCAGCAGCAAGGAAUAUUGGACAAUGGACGCAAGUCUGAUCCAGCCAUGCCGCGUGAAGGAUUAAGGUCCUCUGGAUUGUAAACUUCUUUUAUAAGGGACGAAAAAAGGUCUUUCUAGAUCGUCUGACGGUACCUUAUGAAUAAGCACCGGCUAACUCCGUGCCAGCCGCCGCGGUAAGAC
rnacentral:rRNA from 1 species